CCUACGGGUGGCUGCAGUGGGGAAUAUUGGACAAUGGGCGAAAGCCUGAUCCAGCAAUUCCGCGUGUGUGAAGAAGGCCUUCGGGUUGUAAAGCACUUUAGUGGGGGAAGAAACAGCUUGGCCACACCAAGCCUUGACGGUACCCCAAGAAUAAGCACCGGCUAACUCUGUGCCAGCAGCCGCGGUAAUACAGAGGGUGCAAGCGUUAAUCGGAUUUACUGGGCGUAAAGGGUGCGUAGGUGGCUUUUUAAGUCGGAUGUGAAAGCCCGGGGCUU
rnacentral:rRNA from 1 species